rnacentral:misc_RNA from 1 species
GAAAUUGAUGAUCCUGAAGCCACCAAGCCAGAAGAUUGGGAUGAUGAAGAGGAUGGAGAAUGGGAGGCUCCUAAGAUUGACAACCCAAAGUGUGAAGUCGCACCUGGAUGCGGGGAGUGGAAGACUCCAAUGAAGAUGAACCCAGCUUACAAGGGGAAGUGGACUGCUCCUUUAAUCGACAAUCCGAACUACAAGGGUAUAUGGAAACCACAAGACAUACCAAAUCCUGUCUAUUUUGAGCUCGACAAACCAGACUUUGAGCCUAUUGCUGCUAUUGGCAUUGAGAUAUGGACGAUGCAGGAUGGUAUUUUGUUUGACAAUAUUUUGAUUGCGGACGAUGAGAAAGUUGCAGCCUCGUACCGUGAGAAGUUCUGGAAGCCAAAGUAUGAUGCGGAAAAAGAAAAGCAGAAGGCUGAAGAAGAAGCUGCUGGUUUUUCAGAGGGGCUUGCAGGCUUUCAGAAAAAGGUAUUUGAUGUCCUUUAUAAAGUAGCUGACAUUCCCUUUUUGGCGCCAUACAAGAGUAAGAUCAUGGAAGUGAUUGAGAAGGGCGAGACCCAACCUAAUUUGACCAUUGGAAUCCUGGUGUCUAUUGUGGUGGUUCUUUUGACAGUAGUUUUCAAGAUCCUCUUUGGUGGAAAGAAGAAACCUGUGGCUCCUGCUAAACCAGUUGUUGAAACUAAGGCUGCAGAGGUCUCUGAAACUGAGAAGGUAGGAAGCAGCACUGAAGAUGAGAAGGAGAAGGAAGAUGGUACUGGCCCACGUCCUAGGCGGUCCAGGCGUGAGACUUAGGGUUGGUAAGGAGGCUGGAAUUUUGAAUUUUCGAUCUUAUUUUGCGUUUAGUGUGUAGGAUUCUGAGUGUGUGGACAAUAGAUUUUGUAUCGGGGGCUUUUUAUUAUGACCAAUUUUAUGUAACUCAGAAAACACUAGACAUGCUUCAACAAACUCUGUAUUUUGAAGGGUUUCAAGUUAAGAACAUCUCAAAUUCAGUACCUACAAUGUUAUCA